AGGCGGUUCGCCAAAUCAGGCGAUUAAAAGGGAACCGGGUGAAAGUCCCGGACAGGCCCGCUGCUGUAAGUCUCUGUUUACCGGAGCCAUAACGUCACUGACCGGCGCAAGAGCGCGCCCUCGGGAAGACGGCUCAGACCAGGAGACAAGUCAGAAGACCUGCCGUCAGUAA
rnacentral:ncRNA from 1 species